GCCAGACUCCUACGGGAGGCAGCAGUGAGGAAUAUUGGUCAAUGGGCGAGAGCCUGAACCAGCCAAGUCGCGUGAAGGAUGACGGCCCUACGGGUUGUAAACUUCUUUUGUCAGGGAGCAAUUGGGUCCACGCGUGGGCUUAGCGAGAGUACCUGAAGAAAAAGCAUCGGCUAACUCCGUGCCAGCAGCCGGGGUAAUACGUAGGGGGCAAGCGUUAUCCGGAUUUACUGGGUGUAAAGGGAGCGUAGACGGUUAUGCAAGUCUGGAGUGAAAGGCGGGGGCUCAACCCCCGGACUGCUCUGGAAACUGUAGAACUAGAGUGCAGGAGGGGUAAGUGGAAUUCCUAGUGUAGCGGUGAAAUGCGUAGAUAUUAGGAGGAACACCAGUGGCGAAGGCGGCUUACUGGACUGUAACUGACGUUGAGGCUCGAAAGCGUGGGGAGCAAACAGGAUUAGAUACCCGAGUA
rnacentral:rRNA from 1 species